UACUACCCAAAUGAAAAAACCCCUUUCUGAACCUAAAUCUCAGUCUUCAAUCUCCGCAACUCCAUCUCCACCGUCUUCCGCUAAUCAGCACCACCACCUAUCUCUGCAAAUCCAUCUUCACUGUCUAACUCUGAACUCAAAAGUCAUAAUUCUUCUGAAGAAAUUGUGCCCUAAAUUGAAGAAAUCGUCGCCACCGAUUGAAGAAACGAUCUGAUUUCUGAAGCAAAGAAAAUCCAAGGAUAAAUAGAGGAGUAUGAUGUAGCUGCAACUGGUGAGGGUUUUAGGUCGGAAAUUAAGGCACCAGCAGCAACCAUAGAAUCCAUCUUUCAAUCUCCUUCAUCCCCUAAAACUGCUGAGGAGGCAAAAAAUACAGUAAAGCUUAGGAUCUUACAGUAAACACGCCAGAUGGGAAGCCUCCACUUAGUAGGUGUUAACUAUUUCACAGAGAAAUCCAUGGGAGCAUGUACUGGGAGUGGGACUUGGAGCUGUAUUCGUAAAUCAGUUGGUCAAAUGGGAUGCUCAGCUUCAAGUUGAUCUUCACAAGAUGCUCGACGAAGCUAAGGCUGCAAAUGAACGUCGCUACUUUGAGAUGCUGAUAUUACAGUGGGAGAAGUUAUCAGUGGGAGAAGAUAAAGAGUUGAUGAAUAUCAUUCUUGCCUGUCAUGGAGAAAAUACAGGAGAUGAAAGGGAACAUGGUACAAAAUGUUGCUGUGUGGAAGACGUUGGAUUUGUUAAAUGACAAUGCUUUUAGCCAUUUAAUGGAGACAAGGAGGCGAGUCUUGAUUAAGCUUUUAAUUGAAUCUCCUGGUCCAAGGUCUCCCGGCACAAAAGUUUCCAGGUACAAAGGUCUCCAGAACAGAGGUCUCCAGGACAGAGGCUUCGGUCUCUGUGCCUG